GAAAAUGCUCAAAAAUGAAAGUGACAAGAGUGGGCAUGUUCUUAAGACCAUUUGUCCAUCUCAGUUGUAGGAAACUAUCAGUUAUGACAGCACAAGAUUGUUACAGAAUGCGAAAUUUUGUCACUCUGUGCAAAAAAUCUCUCUGGAAAUCAUAAUUCAUAUGGGACUUUCAACUCAGCAAGGAAAGUCGCUGCGUCCUCCCCACUGUAGCUCUGGUCUAAUUACGGACAACUGCUCUCAAGGGCUGGUUCGGGGCAUGACCAUGACCCAUCACUUUUGGGGACACAUUCUCCUCGCCUCUUGUGAGCUUCGAUACUUUCCCUGACACUUUAGAUUCAAAAUGUAGACAGGUUUCCCUUUAUUCAUUCCGAUUACUGAAAAACAAACAAACAAACAAACAAACAACUUUUGGCUGGCACAGUGGCUCACACCUGCAAUCCCAGCACUUUGGGGAGCCUAGGAGGGAGAAUUGCUUGAGUCAGGAGUUCAAGACCAGCCUGGGCCACAUAGGAAGAUCCCAUCUCUACAAAACUUUUUUAAAAAUAGCCAGGUGUGGUGGCACACUCUUAUGGUCCCAGCUACUUGGGAAGUUGAGGUAGGAGGAUUGCUUGAGACCAGGAGGUUGAGGCUGCAGUGAGCCAUGAUCGCACAAGCACUGCUGUGCUCCAGCCUGGUGACA
rnacentral:lncRNA from 10 species